UACGAAGGGAGCUAGCGUUGUUCGGAAUCACUGGGCGUAAAGCGCACGUAGGCGGAUGUGUCAGUCAGGGGUGAAAUCCCGGAGCUCAACUUCGGAACUGCCCUUGAUACAGCACAUCUUGAGUCCGGAAGAGGUGGGUGGAAUUCCUAGUGUAGAGGUGAAAUUCGUAGAUAUUAGGAAGAACACCCGUGGCGAAGGCGGUUCUCUGGGACGGUACUGACGCUGAGACGCGAAAGCGUGGGGAGCGAACAGG
rnacentral:rRNA from 1 species